CUCUUUAUAAUAUUAGUAUAGAUAAGUUCAAUCAACAAACUAACAGAUGGAGUAGAGUUAGACGAGAAUAAAAUAACAGAAGAGUACCAGAAAAUUAGGACAGUCUUAAGAAAAACAUUACCAGAAUUUUACUUUGUAAACAAAAAUGAUGGAUCAAGUGAUGAAAUUGAAGAAUGUGACGUCCAAAAUUCAAUAAAAAUAAGUUGUAGAUUUUGCAUGAAUUUUACUAUGUGCUGUAUUGAUAUUUUAGUUAACUACAAUAUGUAUAGCAGUGCUUAUAGUAAUCUAGGAUUAGCAUACAAAUAUCUUUUAACACUGCCAUCAGCUCAGAUUUUACGGCAUCAACUAGUUCCAGAAACAUUAAUUCAGAAGUAAAAAUAGUCAAACAGAUCUAUGCUUAGAAAGUUACACGGAAACUUAAAUAUUGUAUAUUAUUCAACCUUUAUAUGAAGCUGUAUGUGCACCAGAGCAUAGUGCACAUCUAUCCAGAAUGCUGACUUAUCAGUUUAAUGAUCUUGUAUACAUUUAACACACCUAGGAUGUAGACUCCA